CUCCUCAGAUGGCCUUGCUGUGGCCGCGUCAGCUCCCAGAUGCUCCUCUAAUCUGCACAGCAGCAGAACAAGGAGGCUUUGAGGGAGCUGGGGCAACCCAC